rnacentral:misc_RNA from 1 species
GAUGAAGAACGUAGCGAAAUGCGAUAAGUAAUGUGAAUUGCAGAAUUCAGUGAAUCAUCGAAUCUUUGAACGCACAUUGCGCCCGCCAGUAUUCUGGCGGGCAUGCCUGUCUGAGCGUCAUUUCAACCCUCAUGCCCCUAGGGCGUGGUGUUGGGGAUCGGCCAAAGCCCGCGAGGGACGGCCGGCCCCUAAAUCUAGUGGCGGACCCGUCGUGGCCUCCUCUGCGAAGUAGUGAUAUUCCGCAUCGGAGAGCGACGAGCCCCUGCCGUUAAACCCCCAACUUUCCAAGGUUGACCUCAGAUCAGGUAGGAAUACCCGCUGAAUUUAAGCAUAUCAAUAAGCGGAGGA